rnacentral:rRNA from 1 species
UCAUACGGGAGGCAGCAGUGGGGAAUAUUGCACAAUGGGGGAAACCCUGAUGCAGCCAUGCCGCGUGUGUGAAGAAGGCCUUCGGGUUGUAAAGCACUUUCAGUUGUGAGGAAAAGUUAGUAGUUAAUACCUGCUAGCCGUGACGUUAACAACAGAAAAAGCACCGGCUAACUCCGUGCCAGCAGCCGCGGUAAUACGGAGGGGGCGAGCGUUAAUCGGAAUUACUGGGCGUAAAGCGCACGCAGGCGGUUUGUUAACCUAAAUGUGAAAGCCCCGGGCUCACCCUGGGAUGGUCAUUUAGAACUGGCAAACUAAAGUCUUGGAGAGGGGAGGGGAAUUCCCGGUGUAGCGGUGAAAUGCUAAAUAUCUGGAGGAACACACUGGGGAAAGGGACUCCCCGGGCCAAAACUGACGCUCAUGUGGCAAAGGGGGGGUAGGCGAAAGGAUAAAAAACCCUGGUCCCCACCCCCUAAACCCCGUCUAUACCUGGGUGGGGCUUAAAAACGGCGCCGCGAACCAAACCCCCUA